rnacentral:rRNA from 1 species
UACGAAGGGGGCUAGCGUUGCUCGGAAUCACUGGGCGUAAAGCGCACGUAGGCGGACUCUUAAGUCGGUGGUGAAAUCCUGGAGCUCAACUCCAGAACUGCCUUUGAUACUGGCGAUCUUGAGUUCGGGAGAGGUGAGUGGAACUGCGAGUGUAGAGGUGAAAUUCGUAGAUAUUCGCAAGAACACCAGUGGCGAAGGCGGCUCACUGGCCCGAUACUGACGCUGAGACGCGAAAGCGUGGGGAGCAAACAGG